GUAAACUAUAGCCUCUACAACUUUGUAGACAGAUUAUAGCUCAUCAGUAUGACUGAAAAAUCACUGUGGAAUUGCUCUGUAAUAGUUCUGUUGCUAUGCCUAUAAAUAUAAUUUUACUGAGAGACUUUUCCAUUUUCUAGCUCCUCGGUAUCCUUUCCUGUGUCAAACGAAAGGGCCUCAGGAAUAUCGUAAAUGACAAAUUAAAAGAGUCUCAGAUAAAACACGUUUUACAAAUUCAGGGCCUUCUUCUCUCAGAGCUGUGAUGGCCAAAGAAGGGAUGCUACCAGAAGUUUGUUGGUCCAUGAGUCUAUCUCCGAUAUUCUCCACCCAGGAUAUACUGCACACUACUGAAGAUUAGAGUUUUUAAAGUCAGACUGCGACUGCAAGAAGACAUGGCGGGCAAACAAGCGUCAUCUUUCUCCUCCAUUUUUAU
ensembl:lncRNA